UUGCCCCAAAAUCUCCCGACCGAGCCUGGCGGGACUUUGGAACUUGCCUGCUCCAAAUCCGCCAAAUUUCGCUCUCUCCUCCCUCUGCCGCGCCGAUCCAGUGCGUUCUUAACUCACGCCCCUACUCUUUUAUGCCCACUUCCAGUUACUCAUCCCUGUAUCUGGGAGCGAUGCCCACACGCCUUCCCGGCGGGCUUCUCCGCCAGGGUUUUUUUGGGGGAUGCUGACAUAAAGUUCCACGUGCUUCUGUCCACCGAGCGCCCUCCCUCCCACCGCACUUACACCUGAACUUGUCUCCAGCACUGCGGACACCCGGGUGACACAUUCUUUCGGAGAGGGAGGGCAAGACUUUUCUACGGAGCCUCUGGCAACUCGUGGAGUCUAUAUAAGCUCUGGGUUGAUUGAUGACCACCGGCGGCCAAUGGCUCUGACACCACGCCAUCCUCGGUCGGGCAUCACAGCCCCACGUCCCCGACGUCAGCCUCCCGGGCGCGUUGGCAUCCCCGAACCCACAGCGCGGAGCCCAAGCCCGGGGCCGCCGCCUCCUCCCUGCUCUGCGCCUGGGCGCUGCCAGGUUCCUUCCCCGGAACGGCUGAGAAAGGAAGGGAGGGAGCCAGAGAGCGUUGGAAGGGGGUGUGGAGGCCAUGGGAUCUCCCCCUCUUUUGAAAUCUUUUUUCACUUAAACUUUUGCUUGUUUCCCCCUCCCCCCGACCUGUUUGUGUUUGUUUGCAACAUCUCAAAUCAAUUAUACAUUUUUCACGA